rnacentral:rRNA from 1 species
GUGGGGAAUCUUGCGCAAUGGGCGAAAGCCUGACGCAGCCAUGCCGCGUGAAUGAUGAAGGUCUUAGGAUUGUAAAAUUCUUUCACCGGGGACGAUAAUGACGGUACCCGGAGAAGAAGCCCCGGCUAACUUCGUGCCAGCAGCCGCGGUAAUACGAAGGGGGCUAGCGUUGCUCAGAAUUACUGGGCGUAAAGGGCGCGUAGGCGGACAGUUUAGUCAGAGGUGAAAGCCCAGGGCUCAACCUUGGAAUUGCCUUUGAUACUGGCUGUCUUGAGUACGGGAGAGGUGAGUGGAACUCCGAGUGUAGAGGUGAAAUUCGUAGAUAUUCGGAAGAACACCAGUGGCGAAGGCGACUCACUGGCCCGUUACUGACGCUGAGGCGCGAAAGCGUGGGGAGCAAACAGGAUUAGAUACCCGUGUAGUCC